AGAUAAUCUGUCUGGGAUUGGGGCACUGAGUCCCAGGUACAGUGUGCAGUGGACACCAGGAGACAAUCUACUGAGAGAAAAAGGUCACACAGUUGGUAGAGUGCUGUCUCUCCUUCUCAAGCACUGAAAUUGAAGAAGCUCCUCAUAGCAUGAGGUGGAGCAUAUGAGCCAGGUAAGUAAUACUGCUUUCACUGUAAAGCACAUUUUCGGUGUUCAUUUCUUACAGUGAUACAAGUUGUAUCUUUUUGUUUCCCACUGGGAGACAAAAGUAAUGGGUAGGCCUGGGCCUAUCCUGGAAAAAGUGAUGAAUGAGUAGGCAACCCUUCAGGGCCUACUCUGAAAUUAACCCCUGCCCAAAUGUCACAAAAAAGUGAGCAGACUUUUUGAGUUGUCCAGAAAGCCUCCUCAGGUUAGCUGUUAAACAAAGCAGAGUGGUGAUAGGAAAGGGGAGAGGCAACCAAUGCUGGCUAAUAUCGAAGCUGUGGAAUCUGCAUUUAAUCACAAUUUGAAGAUGGAAUGUGGGAGGAUGUAGCAGGUUUCAGGUUGUACUUAAGGCUGUCGCUAGGACUCUUGAGAUUUAUCCCACAUUUCCUUUUUAAAUGCAGCUAUUCCUUCAAUUUGUUUCGUUUCUUAUGCUGAACAAAGCAGCUCCUCAGUAGAUGCAAAACAAAAAGAGGCAGUUUCUAGAUUAACAAUACAUUUAGGAGGUGUACUAGUUAAACACAAGUGAACAGAAGCUAAAUUUUGUACCUUUGUCUAGUAGUUGGAGGGAAUGUACCCUCAGUGAAGUCCUAUCUUCAGGGAUAAAAGAUCCCAUUCCUCCAGUAUAUUAUUCUGUUCUUGAAUGGCAGGCAGAUACCCUCUGUCUCUCUCACAAACAUAUUGGAAGGUCAAUUUAUAUAAAAAUUCAAUUAUAUUGCCAUAAUAUAAAAGAUGAGAGUUGUAAGAAAACCAGCAAGUUGGGCACUUGAAAUGAGCUAGAAAACGUUUAGUGCUACUUCUCAUGAUCUGUUGGUGUUCUUACAAUUUUUUCCCCAAAGUUUUGGAUGGCUGUUAUGAAAGAUAAUGUCUUGUGAGUGCCUGCUCAAAGUUAUCACUUUAUUUGUCCCCUUUUGGGUGUAUUUCUUGUGUUAGGUAGGAUGACAUGUUCAACAGAGCAGAUGAUUUGUUUUUGGAAGCUGGUGCUAGCUGUGGACAGGACCUACAAGAAUCAUAUUUUGCCCGUUCCCUGUCCAUACAAACUUGUAAUGUAGGGCUCUCCUUCCCCACACUUACACCAAACCCGUUGCAAAAAUACAAUCUCAUUAGUCUUGAAUGAAAAGUUUCCUUUUUAAUCCUGGAAUAUUUCCUUCAUUUCUGAAAUUGCACCAUGUCCCGCACUGAGGCUUGCCUGCCAUGCCCCUAAAGACACACACACACACACACACACACACACACACACACACAGUAGGUAGGUCUUAAGAGAGCAUGUCAUAGAAAUAUGAGUUCUUGGGGAAGCACGAGGGAAAGCAAGCAGGGUCCAAUCAGGAGUGUACAUCAAGCAGAGAGUACAGGACCAUGGAGAGCUCCAAGGGGCUUGGCUAAACCAGUCAUCAGAGACUUUUUCUCUGUAGGAAGAUAGAAGCAACUGAAGCUUUAUACAGCUCAAUCAGUUUUGGAAUAUGGCAUGCUCCAACUCUGCAAUAAGUGUCUGGCUGGUUAAAGGGCCCUCAAUUUAGUCUUUUUUUUUUUAAUGGACAGGGAGAUGAAAGGACACAGCAGACUCAUUUUCUGAGUCAGAAGAUGGUGGCAGGGCUGUGCCCUCUGGCUGAGAGGUCCUUGAAUGAGGGUGGUGGUUCUACUCUUGAAGAAGUAGUCUGAACCGCAUGUUGUCAGAGUCAUAGAAUCAUAGAAUUGUAGAGUUGGAAGGGACCGCAAGGGUUGACUAGUCCAACCCCCUUAAAUGCAGGAAUCUCAGCUAAAUCAUCCAUGACAGAUGGUCAUCUAAAAAGGAUUUAAAAAAAGGUAAAUGAUCCCUGGAUGGUUAGGUCCAGUCUUAAAACCUACUUAAAAACCUCCAAGGAAGAAGAGUCCACAACCUCCCGAGGGAGACCAUUCCGCUGUCAAACAUAGAAUCAUAGAAUCAUAGAGUUGGAAGAGACCACAAGGGCCAUCGAGUCCAACCCCCUGCCAAGCAGGAAACACCAUCAGAGCACUCCUGACAUAUGGUUGUCAAGCCUCUGCUUAAAGACCUCCAAAGAAGGAGACUCCACCACACUCCUUGGCAGCAAAUUCCACUGUCGAACAGCUCUUACUGUCAGGAAGUUCUUCCUAAUGUUUAGGUGGAAUCUUCUUUCUUGUAGUUUGGAUCCAUUGCUCCGUGUCCGCUUCUCUGGAGCAGCAGAAAACAACCUUUCUCCCUCCUCUAUGUGACAUCCUUUUAUAUAUUUGAACAUGGCUAUCAUAUCACCCCUUAACCUCCUCUUCUCCAGGCUAAACAUGCCCAGCUCCCUUAGCCGUUCCUCAAAAGGCAUCGUUUCCAGGCCUUUGACCAUUUUGGUUGCCCUCCUCUGGACACGUUCCAGUUUGUCACUAUGUGUUAGAGUCACACACUGUGAAGGCCCAAGUUUGUGGGUCAGGAACAAGAAAAAACAGGACUCCCUAUCUCUCAGACUUCAAGUCCAACUUUAAAUGUACAAGCACGGACUCUUUGUUCUAGAGAAGGGCCUGGGUCAGGAAAUCACCAUUCAGGGAUGAUGGGAGUUGUAGUCCAAAAUCACCAUUCAGAAUGUUGCUUAUUCUGCUCUGGUACUUUUUCUGAUUAGCUCCAGCAAAUCUCAUAAGAGGCAGUCAGUAAGGACACAAAUAAAAGGAAAUACGUUUCCAUAAACAUCCUCAAGAUUUACAGUUUGGCCUCAAUUUUCCCGUCAUGGUAAAAGGGCUACAUCCUGCAGCCUAAGCUGUACCUUCCAGGUUUUGUUGGGCUCCAGUUCUCAUCAGGCCCAAUCAGCAAGGCCAGUGGUCAGGGAUGAUGGGAGUUGUAGUCCAACACGACGGGUUCCCCAUGCCUGAGCUAGGGCAACCAAGCUAGAAAGGUCUUGGUCCAUGAAAAAUAUCUCCUGGGCAGAGUCACCUUAUGUAUCUGCAGCAUAUUUCUUCCUCAUAAACAGCUUCGUAUCAAAGGUGUUAGGCAUCUCUAUAUGUCUCCCUCCGCCUCAUUAUUAUCAUCACUAACAUCAACAGCUUGACUCUUUAUCGUUAAGUGUGGCAGCCUAUUGUAUUGUUACUUGUAGAUAAAAUAUAGUUGCUAAGAAACACUGUGAUUAACAUGCUGACAAUGCAACCUUCCUUUGAUAAUUUGGGCAUCAGUUGUCUGCUUCUAUAAUUGGCAAGGAAACAAUUUCUGGGGGAAAUUUGUCAGCCUGCAGAGAAAAGAAGACUUUCUGAAUGAAAUAAAAUGGCUCCUUCUCAUGCCUAUUUCUGAUGUUGGAUCCUAUGUGUUUUCUUGUACAGAUGCUGGAUGCUGACGUGGCUUGGUGAAGGAAGGAGCCAUGCACAGAAUUACAUUUGGAGCACU